UGCGCAGGCGGGGAUGUAAGUCAGUGGUGAAAUACUGCCGCUCAACGGUAGAACUGCCAUUGAUACUGCAUCUCUUGAGUAUGGUUGAGGUAGGCGGAAUGUGUUGUGUAGCGGUGAAAUGCAUAGAUAUGACACAGAACGCCGAUUGCGAAGGCAGCUUACUAAGCCAUUAUUGACGCUGAGGCACGAAAGCGUGGGGAGCGAACAGGAUUAGAUACCCUGGUAGUC
rnacentral:rRNA from 1 species